GUGGACCUAAUAGUACAACAAAGAUGAGACUAGAAAGAGUCAGUUAAUUUCAAGUUAAAUGAAUAUAAAUUACCCCAUCAGAAAACAGAAGAAAAAACAUCAUAAAAAAAUUAACAGACCUUUAGGAAUCUGAGGGAUAAUUCCAAAAGUUCUGGCAACUGGAAUUUCAAAAAGAGAGAAGCACGAGAAUGGGGUAGUGAAAAAAAUGUGAGGGAAUGAUGACAAACAAACUUCCCAAACUUGGUAAAAGACAUACAUUUACAGAUUCAAGAAGCUUAUCAAACCCCAAUCAGGAUAAUACAAAGAAAAUCAUGUCUAGAUAUAUUAUAGCUCAAUUGGUUGUGACAGACAGUUUCUGACGUGUUUCCAAAUGACUGCAACCUCCAGAGAUUUAGUCCCUUGUGUAAUCCCUCCCCUUGAGUGUGACCUGAAUCUUGUGACUUAUGUUUGAGGAAUGAAAUACAGAUAUCACUUCUAUGAUUAGGUAACAAAAAUUCUGACUUUUCAUAGUGCUCUCUGCUCUGUCUCUCUCUCAACCCUUGCGCCUUGCUUGCUUUCAUGAGACAACCUGCUGUGCUGUGAGAUGCUCUGUGGAGAGGACCGUGUGGCAAGGAACCGAGGGNCCUCUGGCUAACAGGUCAUGAGAAACCCAGACGUCUUGCCAACAGCCCACAAGGAACUGAAUGUUGGCAUCAAUCAUAGGACAGAAUUCCGUGCAGACUCCUCACAGUCAAACCUGAGAAGACUGGAAGGUGUGAGAAAGUCAGAAAGCUGUGCCCCAAUUCUGGAUUCCUGACCCAUAAAAACUGUGAGAUAAUAAAUGCAUUUUGUUUUUUGGGGGUUUUUUUUUUUGCUAUUUCUUUGGGCCACUCCCACGGCAUAUGGAGGUUCCCGGGCUAGGGGUCGAAUCGGAGCUGUANCAAUCAUAGGACAGAAUUCCGUGCAGACUCCUCACAGUCAAACCUGAGAAGACCGGAAGAUAAUAAAUGCAUUUUGUUUUAGCUGGUAAGUUUUGAAAUAAUGUAUUAAACAGCAAAAGAUAACCAAUACACUGCUGAAACCAAAAAUAAAGGGGAAAUUGUGAAAGCAGCCAGAAAAACAAAAACAAAAAAACCCGAAUACAUCACAUACCAGAGGAAAGAGUAUGUAAUGACUUCCAACUUUUCCAGAAAGGAUGAGGGUCAUAAAAUAGUGAGCAAUAUUUUUCAAGCGCUUAAAGAAUGACACUAUCAACGUGACAUGCUGGACGUAGCCAAAAUCUCCUACGAGAAUUAAAGAAAACUGAAAAUGUUCUCAAAUAAAGUUAAAUUAGGAUAUUUCGCCACCACCGGACACACAUUAUUAACAAAUGGUAAAGGGAGCGCAUCAAACUGCAGAGAAACGACAUCAAAGGGAAGCUUAGAUCCUCAGGAAUGGAUUAGAGCCAUCAGGAAUGGUAAAUAUCUGAUAAAUAUAUAUUUCACUUUAUUUUUUUGUCUUUUGUCCUUUUAGGCCGCACCCGUGGCAUAUGGAGGUUCCCAGAAAUGGCAAAAAGAUAGGAUAUUCCAUCAUGGCUCAGCACUAACGAACCUGGCUAAUAUCCAUGAGGAUAUGCGUUCAAUCCCUGGCGUUGCUCAGCAGGUUAAGGAUCCGGAGUUGCUGUGAGCUGUGGGAUAGGUCACAGACAUGGCUUGAAUUCUGCGUUGCUGUGCCUGUGGUAUAGGCUGGCAGCUACAGUUUUGAUUCAACCCCUAGCCUGGGAACCUCCAUGAGUGUGGCCCUAAAAAGACAAAAAAAAAAAAAAAGAAAGAAAAAAGCCAGGAGAUAAAUAAAAAUAAAACUAAAAAAAAAAUUCAAAUAAUCCAGGGAGUUUCCACUGUGGCACAGCAGGUUAAGGACCUGGAGUGCAGGUUUGAGCCCCAGCCAGGCACAGUGGGUUAGGGAUCCAGCAUUGCUGCAGCUGUUGCAUAGGUCUCAGCUGCAGCUUGGAUUAGAUCCCUGGCCUGGGAACUUCUGUAUUCCAUGCAUGCAGCCCCCCAAAUUUUUUUUUCAAAUAGUCCAAAGAGGGUUGAAAGUGAAGAAAUAGCAAAACAAACAAACAAAACAGAGGAGACAAACAGAAAAAUAAAUACUAAAACACCAGACUUAAAUCAAACACUAUCCAUCACUGCAUUUAAUGUUAAUGGGCUAAACACUCCAAAAAGGGAGAAGGUGUAAGAAUUAUCAAAAUAGAUUAAAAAAAUCAAGGCCCAACUCAGAAAUGUAUUUACAACAAUGCUUAUUAAUUUUUACCCAGCAUUUCUAGGUGUUUUUGGCAGAAAGCUUUUCGGGCCUACUAUGUCCUAUUUUAUAUAAGGUUACUAGGAAGUUGAUACAGACCAACUUGCCCCCUAACUUCUAUCCCUGGGUGGUGGAGAGCCUUAAAUAGAAGAGGGUGUGUAGAGAAAAAUGAUGUCCUGGGCAUCCAGACCAGCUGAUGACUCUCAAGGAGGGACAUAUUAUACAAUACGUUCCUUGUGCUCUUUAGGCUGUAAAUUACCUUUUUUCCUCCUGUUUCUCACUUGACAAAUAUUUUUUGACUACCUUU
rnacentral:lncRNA from 1 species